CUAUAUCAGAUUGGACAGGUACAUUAGCUGUACAGUGGUGCAUAUAUUCAGCUGUGAAAAGACAAGCAAAAGAGAAACAGGUGAACCACAGCAUAGAGCACCAAUUCAUUUUACAGUGAUUUUUUUCUUUUUAUACUUUUAAUUACUUCGCCUUCUUAACAUUGAACUUUCAGCUGUGCAAAGAAAGGGAGGAUUGGAAGACAGUAAUUGCCCAAGUGUGGGUGUUUGCUUGAUGCCUAUGGGCAGAGGGGCCAGAGAGGGGAUAGUCAAUGUGGGGGAUGCAAAAGGUGUUGAAAAUGGAAAGACUGAGUGGAGCAAAUUUCUCUGGGAAAUUUGUCCUCAGUGAAGCUAUAGAAGACUGAAUAUUUGAAGAAUAGUUCAAAGAGGUGUCUAGGAAAUGCAGAUCUGGCUUCAACUCCCCUUCCACUUUCUUCUACUCCAAAACAAACAUCUAUGAAGCCCUGCAAUAAGGUCCUGCCUCAAGAUGUAGCCACCGAGUCUCAGAAAAAGAAAAAUGACCUUGAGACUUGAGACGGCAUAACCUGGUGUU
rnacentral:lncRNA from 1 species